UAGGGAAUCUUCCACAAUGGGCGAAAGCCUGAUGGAGCAACGCCGCGUGUGUGNUAAGAAGGGUUUCGGCUCGUAAAACACUGUUGUAAGAGAAGAAUGACAUUGAGAGUAACUGUUCAAUGUGUGACGGUAUCUUACCAGAAAGGAACGGCUAAAUACGUGCCAC
rnacentral:rRNA from 1 species